CAAAAAAUAGUUCAGCUAGAAUCCUAGCUUUGGGAGUUAGGGGCGGGGGUUAGAGUCCCCCUUUUUUGA
rnacentral:tRNA from 1 species